rnacentral:lncRNA from 10 species
CUUUCUUUUGUUAGUUACGUGUUUGUUCUAUUUUUAUUCCAUUCUUUCAUUCUCUUCUCCUGCAUCUGAAUCAUUCUAACGCGCUUGCAUAUCCUUUUACAUGUGUUUUGUGUGCAUCUAUUUUAAAUUUAUGUAGAUUUAAAUUUGUGCUAGGGAUACCAUUUUCUCUCUUUUUUCACUUAGAAUACUGUUUUUAAGAUCAAUUCCUAGGCCGGGCACAGUGGUUCACACCUGUAAUCCUAGCACUUUGGGAGGCCAAGGCAGACCGAUCACCUGAGGUCAGGAGUUCAAGACCAUCCUGGCCAACAUGGCAAAACUCCUAUCUUUACUAAAACUACAAAAAUUAGCUGGGCCUGGUGGCGCACACCUGUAAUCCCAGCUACUUGGGAGGCUGAGACGGGAGAAUUGCUUGAACCCUGGAGGCGGAGAUUGCAGUGAGCCAAUAUUGCACCACUGCACUCCAGACUGGGUGACAGAGCCAGACUUCGUCUAAAAAAAAAAAAAAAGAUCAAUUCCCACUGCAGUGUAAUCAUUUGCUGUUUCAAAUAGAGAACUGUGCGAUGAUGAGAAAGAGUUCAUACAUUUUCCAGUAUGUGAGGGGACCUCUCAACCUGAACCCUCGUGUUCAGCUGUCAGAAUAACAGCCAAUAAA